rnacentral:misc_RNA from 1 species
GAAACAAUAGGCAAAUUACAACGAAGCUGAUCAGUUCCAAGCCAAAAGGCAUGAGCAAUUCUCACUGCUGGCAUAUACAAAAAACAUGAAACACAGCCCAUGAAAAUUGCAAAAAACAACUUUUCAAACCCAUGUAAUGCUUCAAAAUGAACAUCAAAAACCCAUUUAGGAACUGCCCCAUGUACAAUACCAAGAGAUACAAUAAACCCAAGAAAACCCAAAAGAAUACUCAAAUGCCUCUCCGACAGCUUAGAUGCAGAUCUUUCAAACGAAACCCUAAAAAUCAAAAUGAAAAUCCUACCAACACCCAAAAACCCAAAUAGAAUCGGAACAAAAGAACCGCUCUUCCACACCCCAGAC